UGGCUCAGGAUGAACGCUGGCGGCGUGCUUAACACAUGCAAGUCGAACGGGGUUUAAGAAGGAAGCUUGCUUUCAUUUUAAACCUAGUGGCGGACGGGUGAGUAACGCGUGAGGAACCUGCCCUUCAGUGGGGAACAACAACUAGAAAUGGUUGCUAAUACCGCAUAAUGUCGGAGAGCCGCAUGACUUUCCGACCAAAGGAUUUAUUCGCUGAAGGAUGGCCUCGCGUCCGAUUAGAUAGUUGGUGAGGUAACGGCCCACCAAGUCUGCGAUCGGUAGCCGAACUGAGAGGUUGAUCGGCCACAUUGGGACUGAGACACGGCCCAGACUCCUACGGGAGGCAGCAGUGGGGAAUA
rnacentral:rRNA from 1 species